rnacentral:rRNA from 1 species
UACGAAGGGGGCUAGCGUUGCUCGGAAUCACUGGGCGUAAAGCGCACGUAGGCGGCUUCUUAAGUCAGGGGUGAAAUCCUGGAGCUCAACUCCAGAACUGCCUUUGAUACUGAGUAGCUUGAGUCCGGGAGAGGUGAGUGGAACUGCGAGUGUAGAGGUGAAAUUCGUAGAUAUUCGCAAGAACACCAGUGGCGAAGGCGGCUUACUGGACCGGUUCUGACGCUGAGGCGCGAAAGCGUGGGGAGGCAAACAGG